UACGGAGGGAGCUAGCGUUGUCCGGAUUUAUUGGGCGUAAAGAGCGUGUAGGCGGCUAGGUAGGUCCGUUGUGAAAACUCGAGCUCAACCUCGAGACGCCGGUGGAAACCAUCUAGCUAGAGUCCGGAAGAGGAGAGUGGAAUUCCUGGAUGUAGCGGUGAAAUGCGCAGAUAUCAGGAAGAACACCCGUGGCGAAGGCGGCUCUCUGGGACGUGACUGACGCUGAGACGCGAAAGCGUGGGAAGCGAACAGG
rnacentral:rRNA from 1 species